AUUAUUCUCUCCACUCCAAAAACCACUCACGCAUUCCUCACCCUCACUCCAACAAACUUAUUUCUCAAGUUUAUCCAAUCCACCUUUGAUCUUAUCCAUUCCCUCAACCAAUUUCCUCUUUUGCCCUCACUCUAUUCUUCCUAUAAAACAAGCCCCUCAUUCCUCUCAUUACACAUAACAAUGAUACCAUCAACCCAACAAUCACAUUCUUUACACAGUUUUACCCACAAUACACAAAAAAAAAUAGAAAGAAAAAACUCUAUGAUACAUUUUUCUGCAGAUCCAAAAUUACAUAGAAAACUCUCCCUCUCAUCAAACACACAAAAUCACAUAAAACACUCCAUUCCCUCAACCUUGAAACCACUAACCACUAACCUCACACUCCAUAAUCCAUUUAUGUUCAUAUUUUACACCUAA